rnacentral:rRNA from 1 species
UACGGAGGGGGCUAGCGUUAUUCGGAAUUACUGGGCGUAAAGCGCACGUAGGCGGACUGGAAAGUUGGGGGUGAAAGCCCAGGGUUCAACCCUGGAACUGCCUCCAAAACUCCCAGUCUUGAGGUCGAGAGAGGUGAGUGGAAUUCCGAGUGUAGAGGUGAAAUUCGUAGAUAUUCGGAAGAACACCAGUGGCGAAGGCGGCUCACUGGACAUGUAUUGACGCUGAGGUGCGAAAGCGUGGGGAGCAAACAGG